AGAUUGAACGCUGGCGGCGUGCCUAACACAUGCAAGUCGAGCGGUAACAGGUGUAGCAAUACAUGCUGACGAGCGGCGAACGGGUGAGUAAUGCUUCGGAAUCUACCUUAUGGUGGGGAAUAACUAGCCGAAAGGUUAGCUAAUACCGCAUACGUCCUACGGGAGAAAGCGAGGGGAUCGCAAGACCGUUGCGACCAAAAAGAUAGAGACCGAAGUCGGAUUAGCUAGGUUGGUAGGGUAACGGCCUACCAAGGCGACGAUCCGUAGCUGGUCUGAGAGGACGACCAGCCACACUGGAACGUGACGACGACGGUACCAGACCUCCGACGGGA
rnacentral:rRNA from 1 species